rnacentral:lncRNA from 1 species
AAAAUGCAACGUAUGAAAAGAAUAGAAAAAGCAAUCAAACAGUAACAUUUAGUUAUAGAAAGAAUUUGUUACUUAUUUAUACAACGUUGAAUCGCUUAAAAUGCAAUCAUCAAAACAUCAUGAACACUUUUGUCCAAUAAUAGAACCAACCUCAAAAAACACCAAAUUCAGUCUUGAAAGAAAAUUGUUGCUUUUGCUAAUGACUACCACGACAAAUUUGACUCAAUUCCUCUCAAGGUUUGAGAGCCAAAGCUAUUCCAAUUCUUGCACUCUUCUCAAUGGCCUUGGUGUCCACCUCACCAGAAAUGGUGAAGAAUGAUUUUGGACGCCACUCAUGCUGGAUGAGACCGCUUGCUAGUCCGAAGUUGUUGAAUCGAAGCUUCGCUGUGGUCAAUGAGUCUAUUGCAUGCUGAGUGCCAAGUGUGAGCGUGUUUUCUUUGGUCGAGAAUCGAUGUGAUACCUCAGCUCCAACAGCUGUUUUGGUAACGGGAUUGACGACAUGGUAGUAUGAAGCAUUCAGGGCAUUAGCUUUUUCAUUCCUGCAUACAUUUACAAUAUCCCAUAUCCCCAUAUACAAAUUUCAAUCAGUUCAGAAACAGAACUAAGCAAAAGAAUUUUAUUGAUGCAACUAAUAAAACAAAAUCACUUAUUUCUAAUUGGUAACAAACAGGUUCUUAGAGAUUAAAUUUUAGAUAUUCUACAGGAAAAAAAUAAGUUAUUUCGAGUUAGUUUUCCAAAAUGAAAAUCACUUUUGAAAAAAAAAAAUCAUCGAAAAUAAUUUUAAGAGAAGCUACUCAAAACAACUUCAUAUUUCAAGCAGCUUUUGACAUUAGAAGUAUCAACUUAUCUAUGCCAAUCCGUCCUUCAAGGUAAAAAAGGAUGAAUAAUUUUUAUAAUUGAAGUUUUAUUUGAAAAAAAACACUGACAAACAGACCCUUAUAUGUAAAGAGGCAGCUACUGCAACAAAACUGUAAUGCAUCAACUAACUAGGCAAGGUUGACUAAAGGUAAACAGACAACUUAGAAAAUAGGAAACAGAAAACUAUUAAAUGAAUGUUGCCUCUCAAGCUCACAAAAUGCGCUUUGAAGCCUUAGAAAAUACAAUAAUCUCCAAUUCAUUUGUAAUUGUAAGAAAAAUCAGCUAAAGACUAAUUUUAAAAUUCCAAAGUUACCACAACGCACCAACAUUUCAGAUUAAAUGCACAUCUAGUAUCCAACGUGUUGUUGUCCAACACCGACACAACAUUGACUUGUGUAUUUAUAUUCAAUAACUUCUAUUUUCUUAAAUAGCAUUGGUGUCAACAUGUCAAUGUUAGUGUCGUGAUCAAUGUUAGGGUACAUGCAUGUGUCUGUUGUGCACGUAACUUACAUAAAUUAGAUAGAAAUAAGUGACACUUCAAUUAGAAACCUUGUGCUAGAAAGGGACGAGUAUUACUUACAGAGUCAACGAAGCAAUCAAAUCGUCUUUGGUGAAGUUCAGCCCAGCAUUAAGCCUUGUGAACACGCCAGUUUUAGUGUCAUAAGAAAGAUCACCACCAAGAGCAACUACAUUAUUUCCAAUAACACCAGAAAAGUUGGCAACUGGGUUUG